AGAUAUGAUACGAAACGUCGACAAUUAAAAUAUUGACAGGGUAAUAUGCCGACACUCAAAAUAUCGACAUAAAAAUAAUCGUACGCCGAAAUAACGUGUAUUAAAUCUCGGUACUUGUCAUAAUCUAAUAAUUUAAACCGAUAUAGCAAUAUUAUUAUCUAGCUUCAUACAAUACAGUGCAAUACUAAAGAUUAAGAGUUAGAUUAAAUUUUAAUGACACGUAUUGAUAAAAAUCCGGACAAAACGGUCGAAAUCAAAAACUUACCGCAACAUACAGUUAAAAAAAAACAUAGUGACUAUGUUAAAACAAUUGAACUUAGAAUAAAAAUUAAUUUACAAUUUUAAAGGCAAGUUUAAGUAUUAUAUAUUUACUUUAUACCUAAUAAAUAUCAGUAAAAUAGCUAAUCAAACUUCCCGAUUUUUUUUAUAGUCGAAACAAAGUAACUUCAAAAAAACACUUUCUCCUAUAAUCAUGCAGUCAUGCGGUAUGUGUGUAAAGGUCGGAGCACUUUUACUGGUUUUUAUCGUGUAUACAUAUUAUAAAAACGAUAAAAAAAAAAAAAAAUUAAUUAAAUUUUGGAUUUAUUUAUUUAUAUAAAUAAAUGUUGUGUAAUAAUUUUUAUUAACAGAUAUUAAUAGACGA